rnacentral:rRNA from 1 species
CCAAUAGCGUAUAUUAAAGUUGUUGCAGUUAAAAAGCUCGUAGUUGAACUUCAGGCCUGGCUGGACGGUCCGCCUUCCGGGCGAGUACUGUCUGUGGUCGGGUCCUACCUUCUGGCGAAGCGUUAUGGCCUUAACCGGCUGUGGCGGGGAACCUGGACUUUUACUGUGAAAAAAUUAGAGUGUUCAAAGCAGGCAAUUCGCUUGGAUACAUUAGCAUGGAAUAAUGGAAUAGGACAAUGGUUCUAUUUGUUGGUUUCUAGGACUGUUGUAAUGAUUAAUAGGGAUAGUUGGGGGCAUUAGUAUUCAAUUGUCAGAGGUGAAAUUCUUGGAUUUAUUGAAGACUAACUACUGCGAAAGCAUUUGCCAAGGAUGUUUUCAUUAAUCAAGAACGAAAGUUAGGGGAUCGAAGACGAUCAGAUACCGUCGUAGUCUUAACCAUAAACUAUGCCGACUAGGAAUCGGGCGAUGUUGACAAAAUGACGCGCUCGGCACCUCAUG